GACGAACGCUGGCGGUGUGCUUAACGCAUGCAAGUCGAACGGUAAGGCCCUUUCGGGGGUACACGAGUGGCGAACGGGUGAGUAACACGUGAGUAACCUGCCCUCAUCUCUGGGAUAACAGUCGGAAACGGUUGCUAAUACUGGAUAUGAGCCUGCAAGGCAUCUUGUGGGUUGGAAAGAUUUUUUGGUUGGGGAUGGACUCGCGGCCUAUCAGCUUGUUGGUGAGGUAGUGGCUCACCAAGGCUUCGACGGGUAGCCGGCCUGAGAGGGCGACCGGCCACAUUGGGACUGAGAUACGGCCCAAACUCCUACGGGAGGCAGCAGUGGGGAAUAUUGCACAAUGGACGGAAGUCUGAUGCAGCAACGCCGCGUGCGGGAUGACGGCCUUCGGGUUGUAAACCGCUUUCAAUUGUGACGAAGCUUUUUGUGACGGUAGCAGUAGAAGAAGCACCGGCUAACUACGUG
rnacentral:rRNA from 1 species